rnacentral:pre_miRNA from 1 species
CUCGGGGUGUGGGGUCCUUCAGCCCAGAGUUGUGACAGGACACAGGCUAGGCCGAGGGACCCCACUGGUGCACG